UGCUGAAUGUAACUCCUGUAAUUUGUCAAACAACCACAACCUGUAACACAAACAUGGGAGCCAGAGUGGCAAGAGUCCCCGAGCUUACACAUUUUCCUGUCAUCUGGGAGAAUGGUGCUUGUUAAUGAUGCUGAGUGUCCAUGUUAAGAGACUCAGGUAUCUUAAUUGUGAAAGUUCUCCCAGCUGUAAGGGAAAGAGCACCAUAAUAUAUCUGCCAAUUUAAGGACAAAAUGAAGAGUGAAUCAAUAAUAAAUUCACAUCUGAAAGUCAUGGUUUUCACUUUUCCCUGAUGGGAGAAGGUAGUAUUUCAGAAAAUUUUCUUUCUAAGGAAUGGUGCCACUCAGAUUGUUCCUCAAUUAAUGAGAGAAUUAUGAGAACAGAAGAUGAAGAUAACACAUAGCCUGAACAAUCAGGAAAGCAUCCAACUCCCC